rnacentral:rRNA from 1 species
GUGACAGCCGCCGCGGUAAUACGUAGGUGGCAAGCGUUGUCCGGAAUUAUUGGGCGUAAAGCGCGCGCAGGCGGUCCUUUANGUCUGAUGUGAAAGCCCACGGCUCAACCGCGGAGGGUCAUUGGAAACUGGGGGACUCGAGUACAGAAGAGAAGAGUGGAAUUCCACGUNUAGCGGCGAAAUGCGUAGAGAUGUGGAGGAACACCAGNGGAGAAGGAGAAUCUUUGGACUGUAACUGACGCUGAGGCGCGAAAACCCUGNGAGCAAUCA